rnacentral:rRNA from 1 species
AAACUUUCAACAACGGAUCUCUUGGUUCUCGCAACGAUGAAGAACGCAGCGAAAUGCGAUACGUAAUGUGAAUUGCAGGUUUUCGUGAAUCAUCGAAUCUUUGAACGCAUAUUGCGCUCUCUGGCAUUCCAAAGAGCAUGCCUGUUUGAGCGUCAUUU